AUUGAACGCUGGCGGCAGGCCUAACACAUGCAAGUCGAACGCGUGGCGGGCGGGUGAGUGAUGUCUGGGAAACUGCCCGAUGGCGGGGGGUAACUACUGGAGACGGUAGCUAAUAACACAUACCAUCGGAUGUGCCCAGAGGGGAUUAGCUAGUGGGUGGGGUAACGGCUCACCUAGGCGACGAUCCCUAGCUGGUCUGAGAGGAUGACCAGCCACACUGGAACUGAGACACGGCCCAGACUCCUACGGGAGGCAGCAGUGGGGAAUAUUGCACAAUGGGCGCAAGCCUGAUGGAGCCAUGCCGCGUGUAUGAAGAAGGCUUUCGGGUUGUAAAGUUCUUUCAUCGAGGAGGCGUUACUCGCAGAAGAAGCCCCGGCUAACUCCGUGCCAGCAGCCGCGGUAAUUC
rnacentral:rRNA from 1 species